rnacentral:rRNA from 1 species
AAAGAAGCCGUCGAGAGAUAUCGGAAGAGUUUUCUUUUCUGUUUUAUAGCCGUACUACCAUGGAAGUCUUUCGCAGAGAGAUAUGGUAGAUGGGCUAGAAGAGCAUGACAUAUACUGUUGUGUCGAUAUUUUCUCCUCGGACCUUGAAAAUUUAUGGUGGGGACACGCAAACUUCUCAACAGGCCGUACCAAUAUCCGCAGCUGGUCUCCAAGGUGAAGAGUCUCUAGUCGAUAGAAUAAUGUAGGUAAGGGAAGUCGGCAAAUUAGAUCCGUAACUUCGGGAUAAGGAUUGGCUCUGAAGAUUGAGAUAGUCGGGCUUGAUUGGGAAACAAUAACAUGGUUUAUGUGCUCGUUCUGGGUAAAUAGAGUUUCUAGCAUUUAUGUUAGUUACUUGUUCCCCGGAUAGUUUAGUUACGUAGCCAAUUGUGGAACUUUCUUGCUAAAAUUUUUAAGAAUACUAUUUGGGUUAAACCAAUUAGUUCUUAUUAAUUAUAACGAUUAUCAAUUAACAAUCAAUUCAGAACUGGCACGGACUUGGGGAAUCCGACUGUCUAAUUAAAACAAAGCAUUGUGAUGGCCCUAGCGGGUGUUGACACAAUGUGAUUUCUGCCCAGUGCUCUGAAUGUCAAAGUGAAGAAAUUCAAGUAAGCGCGGGUAUAAAGGCAAGA